UACGUAGGCAGCGAGCGUUGUUCGGAGUUACUGGGCGUAAAGCGUGCGUAGGCGGUGUCUUAAGUUUGUUGUGAAAUCUCCCGGCUUAACCGGGAGGGUGCGGCGAAUACUGAGAUGCUGGAGUGCCGGAGAGGUAAGCGGAAUUCCUGGUGUAGCGGUGAAAUGCGUAGAUAUCCGGAGGAACACCGGUGGCGAAGGCGGCUUCCUGGACCGACACUGACGCUGAGGCGCGAAAGCUAGGGGAGCAAACGGG
rnacentral:rRNA from 1 species